rnacentral:rRNA from 1 species
GGUCGUGCCUAUGGUAUGCACUGGCUUUACUGAUUCCUCCUUCUUGAAGAACUGUAAUGUCAUUAAUUUGGUGUUGCUAGGGAAACAGGACUGUUACUUUGAAAAAUUAGAGUGUUUAAAGCAGGCUAACGCUUGAAUACAUUAGCAUGGAAUAAUGAAAUAGGACGUUUGAUCCUAUUUUAGUUGGUUUCUAGGGAUUGACGUAAUGAUUAAUAGGGAUAGUUGGGGGCAUUAGUAUUCAAUUGUCAGAGGUGAAAUUCUUGGAUUUAUUGAAGACUAACUACUGCGAAAGCAUUUGCCAAGGAUGUUUUCAUUAAUCAAGAACGAAAGUUAGGGGAUCGAAGACGAUCAGAUACCGUCGUAGUCUUAACCAUAAACUAUGCCGACUAGGGAUCGGAUGAUGUUAAUUUUUUUAAUGACUCAUUCGGCGCCUUACGG